AUUGAACGCUGGCGGCAUGCUUUACACAUGCAAGUCGAACGGUAACAGGUUAAGCUGACGAGUGGCGAACGGGUGAGUAAUGCAUCGGAACGUGCCCGAUCGUGGGGGAUAACGCAGCGAAAGCUGCGCUAAUACCGCAUACGAUCUGAGGAUGAAAGCGGGGGACCGUAAGGCCUCGCGCGAUCGGAGCGGCCGAUGUCAGAUUAGGUAGUUGGUGGGGUAAAGGCUCACCAAGCCAACGAUCUGUAGCUGGUCUGAGAGGACGACCAGCCACACUGGGACUGAGACACGGCCCAGACUCCUACGGGAGGCAGCAGGGGGGAAUUUUGGACAAUGGGCGAAAGCCUGAUCCAGCAAUGCCGCGUGCAGGAAGAAGGCCUUCGGGUUGUAAACUGCUUUUGUACGGAGCGAAAAGGCUCUCUCUAAUACAGGGGGCUCAUGACGGUACCGUAAGAAUAAGCACCGGCUAACUACGUGCCAGCCGCCGUAAUAC
rnacentral:rRNA from 1 species